CUGGCGAACACUUCCAGUUGAUUUAGGACUAAUUUUCUGUAACUUAUAACUGACAUUUAGAACUGGUACUUCUCCUUCUUCAUCAGCAUCAUCACCAUGAUUUCAGAAUCUGUAAACUCUCCAGCUACAAUUGCUAGCUCAAACUCUCCCAUUUUUAAUUCAUUCCUGAAUAUUUAUACAUACACAUCAUUUUGACUUCUUCUUCAUUUGCUGUCUCAGCCACUUUAAAAACAAGUGAUGCAUCUUGGAAUCUCAGGUUUUCUGUUGGAACAUAGCCAUCCAAAAAAAUGUUUAUGCCCUUUCUUACACUAAAAGGCACAGUGACAACUCCAUAGGUGCUUGGUACACCAUAUAAACAGCAGAUGAAAUCAGAGAGAUAGUCUAAUACACCUAGAUCAUAUUCCACUACAACGAUAUAUCUAUCUGGAUUUAUCAGAGAUUGUAUAGUAAUAGCAGGCUUUAAAUGCUGUUUGACAUCUAGGUAACGAGAAGUCUCACCAAACAUGAAAAUAUCAGCUUUCUGUAUGCAAAUGACAGCACAGGCAAAUCUCUGCAACUCUCCUCCUGAAAGAUCUUCAACAUUUCGUUCUGUUAGGUGGGUUAAUUCAAGCUGCUGACAUACAAUUGCCUGUGUCUUUGUUUCAUCUUUUCAGUCCAAAAUAGAUCCCACUGUCCCCUUUGCAGGCUUAGGAAUCUGGUCUACAUAUUGAGAUUUGAUGAUGGCUUUUAGGUUCUCUUCUAGAAUCUUGGUAAAGUAAUUCUGUAAUUCAGAUUCACGGAAAUAAGUCAAAAUGUCUUGCCAGUCAGGAGGAUCAUCGUACUUUCCAAGGUUUGGCUUUUGUUUUCCUGCUAAAAAUUUUUAAAGCAGUUGACUUUCCAAUACCAUUAGUUCCAACUAAUCCCAAAACUUUACCUGGACGAGGGAUAGGCAACCUGUUAAUUUAGAUGACAUUGGCACAAUAUCAAUGUGUGGUUUCUUUUUCCAAGUUGCUUGGUAAAUUGUCAAUUGAUAGGGCGCCAAAGGGGCAUUUCUUAAUACAGAUACCACAACCAAUACAAAGAGUUUCAGAAAUCCAUGCUAUUUUGCUCUGGGGUGUAACUUCUAUGCAUAAUUCUCCCAUUUGAACUACAGGACAACUCUUUUUGCAUUCCUGUUGACAUUUCUUAGGUUUACAUUUGUCAUGAUUGACAAUAGCAAUUCUCAUUAAUUUGUCUGCUAGAACUGUGCGAAAGAAUAUCCAGCUCUUCUGGAGAAAAUGAUCCCCUUGAGGAGGGGAGCACAGAGGCCAAAGCAGCUCUUGUCUUUACUUUUCAGUCACACAGCAUGUUCUCGUGGCCACUGGCCAAAAUGGC
rnacentral:lncRNA from 1 species